ensembl:lncRNA
AUGCGCAUGCCAGACAGGCGCAUGCACCUGAGAGAAACCGUUGGUAUAGUGGAUUCAAAUGUAUCUGCGCGGGAGAGUGAGGAGACUGAGGAGUCGAUGCUGAAGUACGACGACAGAAGUUCAGACAUCAUUUCCAAACAGAUUUUUCUUCAUUUAAGUUAUGGUUUAGAAGAAGUCCAUGCAGUGCCGCUUCUGCAAGUUUUCAUCACCUCACCAAGACCUAAUUUUCAAGCACUACAGAACUUGCCAUUGGUUGCAAUGUUGCUGUGAGUCAUUCUUUCACCUGACAACAUUAGAAAAA